rnacentral:tRNA from 1 species
AGGGUGUUAGCUCAAUGGAAGAGCACCUACCUUACAAGUAGGAUGUUGGUGUUUUGUUUCCUCCAUUCCAUG